CGGAUUGAGAGAUAUGAAGUCUCCAAUAAGUUCUACAGCUGCAAGAUGGAGGAGAAUAGUUCUGUCAGUGAACAUAUACUCAAAAUGUCUGGGUAUAAUAAUCACUUGAUUCAACUGGGAGUUAAUCUUCCGGAUGAUAGCGUCAUUGACAGAAUUCUCCAAUCACUGCCACCAAGCUACAAGAGCUUUGUGAUGAACUACAAUAUGCAAGGGAUGAACAAGACUAUUCCCGAGCUCUUCGCAAUGCUAAAAGCUGCGGAGGUAGAAAUCAAGAAGGAGCAUCAAGUGUUGAUAGUCAACAAGACCACUAGUUUCAAGAAAAAGGGCAAAGGGAAGAAGAAGGGGAACUUCAAGAAGAACAGCAAGCAAGUUGCUGCUCAAGAGAAGAAACCCAAGUCUGGACCUAAGCCUGAAACUGAGUGCUUCUACUGCAAGCAGACUGGUCACUGGAAGCGGAACUGCCCCAAGUAUUUGGCGGAUAAGAAGGAUGGCAAAGUGAACAAAGGUAUAUGUGAUAUACAUGUUAUUGAUGUGUACCUAACUAGAGCUCGUAGUAGCACCUGGGUAUUUGAUACUGGUUCUGUUGCUAAUAUUUGCAACUCGAAACAGGGACUACGGAAUAAGCGAGCACUGGUCAAGGACGAGGUGACGAUGCGCGUGGGAAACGGUUCCAAAGUCGAUGUGAUCGCAGUCGGCACGCUACCUCUACAUCUACCUUCGGGAUUAGUUUUAGACCUAAAUAAUUGUUAUUUGGUGCCAGCGUUGAGCAUGAACAUUAUAUUUGGAUCUUGUUUGAUGCGAGACGGUUAUUCAUUUAAAUCAGAGAAUAAUGGUUGUUCUAUUUAUAUGAGUAAUAUCUUUUAUGGUCAUGCACCCUUGAAGAGUGGUCUAUUUUUAUUAAAUCUCGAUAGUAGUGAUACACAUAUUCAUAGUGUUGAAACCAAAAUAUGCAGAGUUAAUAAUGAUAGUGCAACUUAUCUGUGGCACCGCCGUUUGGGUCAUAUCGGUGUAAAGCGCACGAAGAAACUCCAUACUGAUGGACUUUUGGAAUCACUUGAUUAUGAAUCACUUGGUACUUGCGAACCGUGCCUUAUGGGCAAGAUGACUAAAACGCCGUUCUCCGGAACUAUGGAGCGAGCAACUGAUUUGUUGGAAAUCAUACAUACUGAUGUUUGUGGCCCAAUGAAUGUUGAGGCUCGCGGCGGGUAUCGUUAUUUUCUCACCUUCACAGAUGAUUUGAGCAGAU
rnacentral:rRNA from 1 species